GUGAACCAGUACCGUGAGGGAAAGGUGAAAAGAACCCCGGGAGGGGAGUGAAAGAGAACCUGAAACCGUGUGCCUACAAGUAGUCAGAGCCCGUUAACGGGUAAUGGCGUGCCUUUUGUAGAAUGAACCGGCGAGUUGCGUUAGUCAGCAAGGUUAAGUCAGAAAAGACGGAGCCGUAGCGAAAGCGAGUCUGAAGAGGGCGAGCAGUUGGCUGACGCAGACCCGAAACCAAGUGACCUACCCAUGACCAGGUUGAAGGCGCGGUAAAACGCGCUGGAGGACCGAACCCACGUAAGUUGAAAAUUGCGG
rnacentral:rRNA from 1 species